GAUGAACGCUGGCGGCGUGCCUAAUACAUGCAAGUCGAGCGAACAGACGAGGAGCUUGCUCCUCUGACGUUAGCGGCGGACGGGUGAGUAACACGUGGAUAACCUACCUAUAAGACUGGGAUAACUUCGGGAAACCGGAGCUAAUACCGGAUAAUAUAUUGAACCGCAUGGUUCAAUAGUGAAGGACGGUUUUGCUGUCACUUAUAGAUGGAUCCGCGCCGCAUUAGCUAGUUGGUAAGGUAACGGCUUACCAAGGCAACGAUGCGUAGCCGACCUGAGAGGGUGAUCGGCCACACUGGAACUGAGACACGGUCCAGACUCCUGCGGGAGGCAGCAGUAGGGAAUCUUCCGCAAUGGGCGAAAGCUUGACGGAGCAACGCCGCGUGAGUGAUGAAGGUCUUCGGAUCGUAAAACUCUGUUAUUAGGGAAGAACAAAUGUGUAAGUAACUAUGCACGUCUUGACGGUACCUAAUCAGAAAGCCACGGCUAACUACGUG
rnacentral:rRNA from 1 species